GACGAACGCUGGCGGCGUGCCUAAUACAUGCAAGUAGAACGCUGAAGCUUGGUGCUUGCACCGAGCGGAUGAGUUGCGAACGGGUGAGUAACGCGUAGGUAACCUGCCUGGUAGCGGGGGAUAACUAUUGGAAACGAUAGCUAAUACCGCAUAAAAUGGAUUAUCGCAUGAUAAUUCAUUGAAAGGUGCAAAUGCAUCACUACCAGAUGGACCUGCGUUGUAUUCGCUAGUUGGUGGGGUAACGGCUCACCAAGGCGACGAUACAUAGCCGACCUGAGAGGGUGAUCGGCCACACUGGGACUGAGACACGGCCCAGACUCCUACGGGAGGCAGCAGUAGGGAAUCUUCGGCAAUGGACGGAAGUCUGACCGAGCAACGCCGCGUGAGUGAAGAAGGUUUUCGGAUCGUAAAGCUCUGUUGUAAGAGAAGAACGAGUGUGAGAGUGGAAAGUUUCACACUGUGACGGUAUCUACC
rnacentral:rRNA from 1 species